ensembl:lncRNA novel transcript
AUAGUUCUAUGGGCUAUACAAGAAGCAUGGCAACAGCAUCUGCCUUUGAGAGGACCUCAGGAAGCUUCCACUCAUGGUAGAAAGUAAAGGGGGUGCAGGUGCUUCACAUGGUGAGAAAGAGAUCAAGAGAGAGAGCCAUGAGAUCAUCAUUGGAUCUUCACUGUGAGAAACCAGUGGUAUUCUUGGAGGAUAUUCACCCUUGGAAUCAAGACACCAUACUGUGAGUAUGCCAAGCAGCCACAUGGAAAGGCCAAUAGAGCUGUUCCAAGCACAGCCUCAGCUAGGUCCCAGGAGAUGACCAGCAUCAAGCACCAGACAAAGUACUUCAAUGACUGUCAUCUUGUCCACAUCCCCAGCUUUCACAAGACAGGUCUGCUGUGAUUUCAGCUUCUUCUAGUUGACUCUAUGAUGCUUGGCUUCUAGCAAAUCUGCUUCCUUCCUUUGUCCAUCCAUGCUGAUGGAUGGUAACAGCAAUAGCAAGAAGCUGGAUUUUUCUCAUCAUUCGUUACAGUAUGUGGAUUCUCAGAUAUUCCACCACCUAUUUAACAAAUUCCAUGUAUUACAUUAUUUAUGUUUUAAAUACUGUAAUAAGCCUAUCUUUUGUUUCCUUGGUUGGACCCUACCUGAGUACAAAUUUAGCUAAAGGAACCCAGAUACAUAGAGGACAAGGACAUUUGGAGUUCAUCCAUCAUGUGUGAACUUCUUAUCCAUCUCCUAACCAAGGUGGGAGGGAGCAUCAUUGAUCAACUGAAUUUUGGCUAGAUUGCUGCUCAUACAUGACUCAGCUGGCCCUUAGUAUUUUGAUUAUUUCUCCAAUUCUUUAGUGUGUAUUUGGAAUAAAUUCAUUCAACAUCUCUGAAUAUCUGGAGCUAGGUUUGUAUGAGAAGGC